UAGGGAAUCCUCCACAAUGGACGCAAGUCUGAUGGAGCAACGCCGCGUGAGUGAAGAAGGUUUUCGGACCGUAAAGCUCUGUUGUUGGUGAAGAAGGAUAGAGGUAGUAACUGGCCUUUAUUUGACGGUAAUCAACCAGAAAGUCACGGCUAACUACGUGCCAGCAGCCGCGGUAAUACGUAGGUGGCAAGCGUUGUCCGGAUUUAUUGGGCGUAAAGCGAGCGCAGGCGGAAGAAUAAGUCUGAUGUGAAAGCCCUCGGCUUAACCGAGGAAUUGCAUCGGAAACUGUUUUCUUGAGUGCAGAAGAGGAGAGUAGAACUCCAUGUGUAGCGGUGGAAUGCGUAGAUAUAUGGAAGAAUACCAGUGGCGAAGGCGGCUCUCUGGUCUGCAACUGACGCUGAGGCUCGAAAGCAUGGGUAGCGAACAGGAUUAGAUACCCUGGUAGUCCAUGCCGUAAACGAUGAGUGCUAAGUGUUGGGAGGCUUCCGCCUCUCAGUGCUGCAGCUAACGCAUUAAGCACUCCGCCUGGGGGAGUACGACCGCAAGGUUGAAACUCAAAGUGAAUUGAC
rnacentral:rRNA from 1 species